rnacentral:rRNA from 1 species
UGAAAUCUGGCCCUCGGGUCCGAGUUGUAAUUUGUAGAGGAUGCUUUUGGUGCGGUGCCUUCCGAGUUCCCUGGAACGGGACGCCAUAGAGGGUGAGAGCCCCGUCUGGUUGGACGCCAAUCCUCUGUAAAGCUCCUUCGACGAGUCGAGUAGUUUGGGAAUGCUGCUCUAAAUGGGAGGUAUAUGUCUUCUAAAGCUAAAUACCGGCCAGAGACCGAUAGCGCACAAGUAGAGUGAUCGAAAGAUGAAAAGCACUUUGAAAAGAGAGUUAAAAAGUACGUGAAAUUGUUGAAAGGGAAGCGCUUGUGACCAGACUUGGGCUUGGUUAAUCAUCCAGCGUUCUCGCUGGUGCACUUUUCCAGUUCAGGCCAGCAUCAGUUUGUCGCGGGGGAUAAAGGCUUCGGGAAUGUGGCUCCUCCGGGAGUGUUAUAGCCCGUUGCGUAAUACCCUGCGGUGGACUGAGGUUCGCGCUCCGCAAGGAU